GUUCUACAUGCUAACAGAAAUUUCAUAGUAACUGUACAUGAGGUUGGAGGAUCUAAUAUUGAAGCUGAUAAUAGAAGCAUUAAUGUAAAAACAGAACUUAUUUUUGUCAAAAAUGAGAUGUACGCUUGUCAUGAUUUAAGUAUGUUGGCCUCUUGUGUUUAUUGCUAUUUUGAGACAUGCCCACUUUCCUUCCAGUCAGAGGGGAGCAUGACUCGACUGGAGACAAAAACCAAAUGCAUUUCAAGAAGAAAAGGGAGAAAAGGGCAGAGCCUCCUCUGUGAUGAGCAUGGGUACCAUAUUCUCCGCAGAGCAUGGCCCGCCCAGCCCAGCUGCUGUACUAGGCCAGAUACCACAUGUCCCUUCAGGAUGGUGGGAGUACUUAACCCUAGUUCCUGGGAGCCAGACCACUUCCUGCAUUCCUGGUGCUGCUCUGGGAUUUCCAGGGAGCAGAUGCCAAGACAGGACCCAGCGUGGAGGAUUUUUAAUAGGGGAACCACCUGUGUGGGAGAAAGCAGGGAGGUGGCCCUAAGGCUGGGAAAGUGCAACCAGGGUGAGGUUCUCACCGUGAGUACAGUAGAG
ensembl:lncRNA